rnacentral:misc_RNA from 1 species
UACGAACUGUGCGAACGUUAUUCGGAAUCACUGGGCUUACAGGGUGCGUAGGCGGCCGAUCAAGUCAGGUGUGAAAUCCCACGGCUCAACCGUGGAACUGCGCUUGAAACUGUUCGGCUUGAGUCAACUAGAGGUUGGCGGAACUUCCGGUGGAGCGGUGAAAUGUGUUGAUAUCGGAAGGAACACCAGAGGCGAAAGCGGCCGACUGGAGUUGUUCUGACGCUGAGGCACGAAAGCCAGGGUAGCGAACGGG